UACGAAGGGGGCUAGCGUUGCUCGGAAUUACUGGGCGUAAAGGGCGCGUAGGCGGAUAUCUAAGUUGGGGGUGAAAUCCCCGGGCUCAACCUGGGAACUGCCCUCCAAACUGUUUGACUUGAGUCCGGGAGAGGUGAGUGGAAUUCCCAGUGUAGCGGUGAAAUGCGUAGAUAUUGGGAGGAACACCAGUGGCGAAGGCGGUUCACUGGACCGGAACUGACGCUGAGGCGCGAAAGCGUGGGGAGCAAACAGG
rnacentral:rRNA from 1 species